GACGAACGCUGGCGGCGUGCCUAAUACAUGCAAGUUGAGCGCUGAAGGUUGGUACUUGUACCAACUGGAUGAGCAGCGAACGGGUGAGUAACGCGUGGGGAAUCUGCCUUUGAGCGGGGGACAACAUUUGGAAACGAAUGCUAAUACCGCAUAAAAACUUUAAACACAAGUUUUAAGUUUGAAAGAUGCAAUUGCAUCACUCAAAGAUGAUCCCGCGUUGUAUUAGCUAGUUGGUGAGGUAAAGGCUCACCAAGGCGAUGAUACAUAGCCGACCUGAGAGGGUGAGCGGCCACAUUGGGACGGAGACACGGCCCAAACUCCUACGGGAGGCAGCAGUAGGGAAUCUUCGGCAAUGGACGAAAGUCUGACCGAGCAACGCCGCGUGAGUGAAGAAGGUUUUCGGAUCGUAAAACUCUGUUGGUAGAGAAGAACGUUGGUGAGAGUGGAAAGCUCAUCAAGUGACGGUAACUACCCAGAAAGGGACGGCUAACUACGUG
rnacentral:rRNA from 1 species